AACGAACGCUGGCGGCAUGCCUAACACAUGCAAGUCGAACGAUACCUUCGGGUCUAGUGGCGCACUGGUGCGUAACGCGUGGGAACCUGCCCUUAGGUUCGGAAUAACUCCCCGAAAUGGGUGCUAAUACCGGCUAAUGUCUUCGGACCAAAGAUUUAUCGCCUUUGGAUGGGCCCGCGUUGGAUUAGCUAGUUGGUAGGGUAAAAGCCUACCAAGGCGACGAUCCAUAGCUGGUCUGAGAGGAUGAUAAGCCACACUGGGACUGAGACACGGCCCAGACUCCUACGGGAGGGAGCAGUGGGGAAUAUUGGACAAUGGGCGAAAGCCUGACCAAGCAAUGCCGCGUGAGUGAUGAAGGCCUUAGGGUUGUAAAGCUAUUUUACCCGGGAUGAUAAUGACAGUACCGGGAGAAUAAGCUCCGGCUAACUACGUG
rnacentral:rRNA from 1 species